GCAGUAGCCGCGGUAAUACGAAGGGGGCUAGCGUUGCUCGGAAUCACUGGGCGUAAAGGGUGCGUAGGCGGGUUUUUAAGUCAGAGGUGAAAUCCUGGAGCUCAACUCCAGAACUGCCUUUGAUACUGAAAGUCUUGAGUAUGGGAGAGGUGAGUGGAACUGCGAGUGUAGAGGUGAAAUUCGUAGAUAUUCGCAAGAACACCAGUGGCGAAGGCGGCUCACUGGCCCAUAACUGACGCUGAGGCACGAAAGCGUGGGGAGCAAACAGGAUUAGAUACCCGCGUAGUCCCUGUCUCUUAUAC
rnacentral:rRNA from 1 species